UGCGGUCUUACCAUGCAAGUCGACGGUGAACCUUGGAGCUUGCUUCGAGGGGAUCAGUGGCGAACGGGUGAGUAACACGUGAGUAACCUGCCCCGGACUCUGGAAUAAGCGCUGGAAACGGCGUCUAAUACCGGAUACGAGACGCAACCGCAUGGUUAGUGUCUGGAAAGUUUUUCGGUCUGGGAUGGACUCGCGGCCUAUCAGCUUGUUGGUGAGGUAAUGGCUCACCAAGGCGACGACGGGUAGCCGGCCUGAGAGGGCGACCGGCCACACUGGGACUGAGACACGGCCCAGACUCCUACGGGAGGCAGCAGUGGGGAAUAUUGCACAAUGGGCGAAAGCCUGAUGCAGCGACGCCGCGUGAGGGAUGACGGCCUUCGGGUUGUAAACCUCUUUCAGCAGGGAAGAAGCGAAAGUGACGGUACCUGCAGAAGAAGCACCGGCUAACUACGUGCCAGCAGCCGCGGUAAUACGUAGGGUGCGAGCGUUGUCCGGAAUUAUUGGGCGUAAAGAGCUUGUAGGCGGUAUGUCGCGUCUGCUGUGAAAAUCCGGGGCUCAACCCCGGACUUGCAGUGGGUACGGGCAGACUAGAGUGUGGUAGGGGAGACUGGAAUUCCUGGUGUAGCGGUGAAAUGCGCAGAUAUCAGGAGGAACACCGAUGGCGAAGGCAGGUCUCUGGGCCACUACUGACGCUGAGAAGCGAAAGCAUGCGGAGCGAACAGGAUUAGAUACGCUGGUAGUCCAUGCCGUAAACGUUGGGCGCUAGGUGUGGGACUCAUUCCACGAGUUCCGUGCCGCACUAACGCAUUAAGCGCCCCGCCUGGGGAGUACGGCCGCACGGCUAAACUCAAGGAAUUGACGGGGCCCGUACAAGCGGCGGAGCAUGCGGAUUAAUUCGAUGCAUCGCGAGAACCUUACCAAGGCUUGACAUAUACCGGCAACACCCAGAGAUGGGUGCCCCGUUUUGGUCGGUAUACAGGUGGUGCAUGGAUUGUCGU
rnacentral:rRNA from 1 species